rnacentral:lncRNA from 1 species
AUAAGUCCUUGUUGGAAAUGUUGAUUUAUUCAAAGCUUAUUUCAUUGGAAACUAGACUCGUAGAUCUUUCUUUGAUACCUGGAUUGAAAGAUUUAGAGUCCAAAUGCCUGCCCAGUUUUCUGUUGAAAUCGACCCUGUGAAUUCUGUAAAAUUGAGAUUUGUUCUUUGAUCUUGGGUUACUAAAUCUAUUGUAACUCUUUGUUGGAAACUUCGAUUCAUAUGAGACUUGUUUUAUCU